rnacentral:rRNA from 1 species
AGAGUUUGAUCCUGGCUCAGGAUGAACGCUGGCGGCGUGCCUAACACAUGCAAGUCGAACGGUGCUUCGGCACAGUGGCGCACGGGUGAGUAACACGUAGCUGAUUUGCCUCGGAGUGGGGGAUAACGUUUCGAAAGAGACGCUAAUACCGCAUAAGCUCACGCUUUUUAGAGGGGUGUGAGAAAAGCUUGAUGUGCUUCGAGAGAAGGCUGCGGCCCAUCAGGUAGUUGGUGUGGUAACGGCGCACCAAGCCGACGACGGGUAGGGGGCCUGAGAGGGUGAACCCCCACACUGGGACUGAGACACGGCCCAGACUCCUACGGGAGGCAGCAGUGAGGAAUAUUGGUCAAUGGGGGCAACCCUGAACCAGCAACGCCGCGUGGGCGAUGAAGGUCUUCGGAUCGUAAAGCCCUUUUCUGUGUGACGAGGAAGGACGGUAGCACAGGAAGAAGUGUCGGCUAACUACGUGCCAGCAGCCGCGGUAAAACGUAGGACACAAGCGUUAUCCGGAAUUACUGGGCGUAAAGCGCCUGCAGGCGGUUGUUCAAGUCACGUGUGAAAGCGCCCGGCUAAACUGGGCGAGGACAGGUGAGACUGGACGGCUAGAGGGUGGUAGAGGCGUGUGGAAUUCCGCGUGUAGUGGUGAAAUGCGUAGAGAUGCGGAGGAACACCAGUGGCGAAGGCGGCACGCUGGGCCACACCUGACGCUGAGGGGCGACAGCAUGGGGAGCGAACGGGAUUAGAAACCCCGGUAGUCCAUGCCGUAAACGAUGUGCGCUAGAUGUUGACCUCUCGAAAGGGGGGGCAGUGUCGAAGCCAACGCGGUAAGCGCACCGCCUGGGGAGUACGGUCGCAAGGCUAAAACUCAAAGGAAUUGACGGGGGCCCGCACAAGCAGCGGAGCGUGUGGUUUAAUUCGAGGCUACGCGAAGAACCUUACCUGGGUUUGACAUGGCGGUGGUACUGAGGUGAAAGCUGAGGGACCCUUCGGGGAGCCGUUACAGGUGCUGCAUGGCUGUCGUCAGCUCGUGUCGUGAGAUGUUCGGUUAAGUCCGAAAACGAGCGCAACCCCCGGCGUGUGUUACACGUGUCACGCGCGACUGCCGUCGGCAAGACGGAGGAAGGUGGGGAUGACGUCAAGUCAGCAUGGCCUUUAUAUCCAGGGCUACACACACGCUACAAUGGGCGGUACAGUGGGAAGCGAAGCCGGGAGGCGGAGCGGAUCCUCCAAAGCCGUUCGUAGUUCGGAUUGCAGGCUGCAACUCGCCUGCAUGAAGUUGGAGUUGCUAGUAACCGCGCAUCAGCACGGUGCGGUGAAUACGUUCCCGGGCCUUGUACACACCGCCCGUCACGUCAUGGGAGCUGGUCACGCCUGAAGUCGAGGGGGUAACCGCGAGGGGCCUAUCGCCGAAGGCAGGGCUGGUGACUGGGACGAAGUCGUAACAAGGUAGCCG